AAUAAAAUGGCUGAGUUAUAGGCGGUAAAUUGUAAAUUUAUUAACGGGACUAAUCUCUUUUAUUA
rnacentral:tRNA from 1 species